GGCAGGGGCCACGUAUAAGCAUAACUCUAUUUAGCAAACCCAGAAGAGAUACUUGGAUGACUAUCUGUGUGAUUAUCAAGUUUUUUACCAGACUGUGAUCCUUGAAGAAAAGGAUUUUGUCUUUCAUUUAUUAAAUAAAUAUUUAUCACUUUCUAAGUAGUAAACAGGAUAGUAAAAUCCUGAUUCCUCAUGCAGCUUACAUUCUACAUUCUUCAACACAUUGAUAAUGCUGACUCUAUUCCCAACUCCACUCAAAGCUUGACACCUAUAUUAACAUCUUAAAGCAACAACCCUAUGAGCCUCUCCUGCCUAUGCAAAUCCAUUUGGCCAAAACAACCUGAGAAAACUAGAAUUAUUUGCAAGAAUCACUGCAAAGGAGUUCAAGCAUGGAAGAAUCAUUAUUCAUAAUUUGCUGCCUAUGCCUAUGGCUGGGCCUCAAGGGCUAGUAAGCAUUGCCCCUUUCUUCACUGCCUGAGAUGGGAACCAGUCAUGCAACACACAAGACAGAAAAACGGAGAUGAAAAUAUUACCUGCAUUUAUGGAAGACUGAAAGUUUAAGAAGUCCUGGCCAAGAUCUGUCUUGGGAUCCCUACUUCUGAGGUGCUCCAUGCACACAACUAUUGGUUUUGUAUCUGAGAGAGAAAUCAUAUCCACUAUGGCCUGGAGGAGAGAGGACAAUUGGAACUCAUGCGAGGUCUCUCCAGACUAUUUGCUGUGGGGAAGCUUUGACUGCCAUGUAUAUCCUUAUUUUAAUGCUGUUUCUAAUUGUAUCCUUUUCUUCCAAUAAACCAUAG
rnacentral:lncRNA from 1 species